rnacentral:sRNA from 1 species
ACUAAAUAUCGAUGGUACAUUAUUCUAGUCAUACUUACUAUUAUGAGGGUGGGGCUAAAAAUCCACUAAAGGGCAUAUCGAUGAAGUUUCUUGCUUACGCGCGAAAUGCCAGUUUUGUGUGUAUUCAGGAAGUAAGAACUACGGAUAAUAUAUAAUGGCAUAUAUGUGAUUCCGUAUUUCGUGGAGGCUUAAGUAAAAUUUAACUUAAGAAGAACCUAUGGUGAGUGCCAAGACACGAUAUACAUAGUGUAGCCUGCCUUGAGUGAAAAUACUGGGAUUAAUUAAUAGGUUUAAAAUAAAUAUGGGCCCAUAUUUAUUUUAAAUAGAAUUAUGAAAUUAUUUUUGCAAAAGAGGAUAGUAAUAGUUAAAAGUAUGUUUGGGAAAACCUCUAGAAUGUUUGCUCAAUUUAGAGCAUAGAAAUUUAAGGAUUAAGGUACGGAUUUAAGUGGUGAUCUAGUGGCUAUCAAAAGAUAGAUAUUUUCUUUAAAUGGAAACGGCUUUGCAGUGAUGUAAAGUAGAAAAUAGAGAAAUUCUACUAGACCUAAACCGUAAAAUUUACUUAAAUUUUGACCAUCUAUUUUUAGUU